GAUGAACGCUGGCGGCGUGCCUAAUACAUGCAAGUCGAGCGAUCAGACGAGGAGUUUUCGCCUCUAACGUUAGCGGCUGACGGGUGAGUAACACGUGGAUAACCUUCCUCUCUGACUGGGAUAACUUCGGGUAACCGGAGCUGAUACCGGCUAAUAUCUUGCACUGCAGGGUGCAAGAGUGAACGGCGCUUUUGCCGUCACUAAGAGAUGUAUCCGCGCCGCAUUGGCUAGUUGGUAAGGUAACGGCGUACCAAGGCGACGAAGCGUAGCCGACCUGAGAGGGUGAUCGGCCACACUGGAACUGAGACACGGUCCAGACUCCUACGGGAGGCAGCAGUAGGGAAUCUUCGGCAAUGGGCGAAAGCCUGACGGAGCAACGCCGCGUGAGUGAUGAAGGUCUUCGGUUAGUAAAACACUGUUAUUAGGGAAGAACAUUUGUGCGAGGAAAUCCCCCAGUUGUGACGGUACCGAAUGAAGAAGCCACGGCUAAAUGCGUG
rnacentral:rRNA from 1 species